rnacentral:lncRNA from 1 species
CGGUGGUGUCGCUUUAAUUAGCCCAUCCAGGGCUUGAUGGAGAGUAGGACGAAAAUAGUAAAUACAUUAAAUGUUAGAGAGCUCUCCUUGGGGUGAGACGGAAAGUCAAACAUUAACCUUCAUGAAGAAAGAUAUUUGGCGCUUCUGCCAGAGGAGUCUGAUGAGUCCUGGUCUAGGUUUUGUUGCUUUCAUUUGGGUCUUCAUGAUGACGUGUGUGGACGUUCCCGCUGAAAGACGCUGCCACAGCAUGGCUUCAAGAGCAGUAUGUAGGUCUGUGUCUGAGACCUGAACCCACAAAGCCCCAGGCCGCUGAAGUGGAGAGUGCAAACUUAACCACUACACCACUGGGCUGGCCGCCAUCAAGGCAAGAUUUUAAGAGCCUAACUCUCUGUGAAGGAGGCUUGUAGAAGGCAAAGGCCAGAGGCAGAGACCAGUUGGGAGGCUUUUAAGAUAGUUUGGGGACAGAAGUAACAGGACCUGAAAUCCGGAGAACAAUGGGAAUGGAAAAGAAGACAUGGACAGAGGUGGACCGAUGUGUGUGGUUGGCUGUGCUGGGGGCGGGAAAGGAGGGAGAGUCGUUGGUGUUCCUCACCUCGAGACGAACGAG